GAUGAUAGAGCGAAAAGCCAGAGCUCUUUGUUAAAGACAUUGCAUUUCUCCGCGACAGACCAGGGCGAGAGAGAAAAUGAGAGAUUCACGUUCGUUAAGGGAUAAAGGGCAUGGCUAUAUGUUUAUACAUCCAUCCGUCUCCAAUUCACCAUUGUCAAGACAGACUCUCUUGCUCGCAGGAUAUCCCACACACGCUCCGUCAAG